CCUACGGGGGGCAGCAGUGGGGAAUAUUGGACAAUGGGGGAAACCCUGAUCCAGCGACGCCGCGUGAGUGAAGAAGCAUUUCGGUGCGUAAAGCUCUAUCAGCAGGAAAGAAAAUGACGGUACCUGACUAAGAAGCCCCGGCUAACUACGUGCCAGCAGCCGCGGUAAUACGUAGGGGGCAAGCGUUAUCCGGAUUUACUGGGUGUAAAGGGGGCGCAGACGGCGGUGCAAGUCAGAAGUGAAAUACCGGGGCCCAACCCCGGGACUGCUCUGGGAACUGCGAAGCUGGAGUGCAGGAGAGGUAAGCGGAAUUCCUGGUGUAGCGGUGAAAUGCGUAGAUAUCAGGAGGAACACCGGCGGCGAAGGCGGCUUACUGGACUGUAACUGACGUUGAGGCUCGAAGGCGUGGGGAGCAAACAGGAUUAGAUACCCCAGUAGUC
rnacentral:rRNA from 1 species